rnacentral:rRNA from 1 species
UACGGAGGGUGCAAGCGUUAUCCGGAUUCACUGGGUUUAAAGGGCGCGUAGGUGGAUUGGUAAGUCAGUGGUGAAAUCUCCGGGCUUAACCCGGAAACUGCCAUGGAUACUAUCAGUCUUGAAUACCGUGGAGGUCAGUAGAAUAUGUCAUGUAGCGGUGAAAUGCUUAGAUAUGACAUAGAAUACCAAUUGCGAAGGCAGCUGGCUACACGAAUAUUGACACUCAGGCACGAAAGCGUGGGGAUCAAACAGG